rnacentral:rRNA from 1 species
AUACGAAAGGUGCAAGCGUUGUUCGGAUUUACUGGGCGUAAAGAGAGUGUAGGUUGUUUAUUAAGUCGGAUGUGAAAUCCCGGGGCUCAACCUCGGAACUGCAUUCGAUACUGAUAGGCUAGAGUUUGGGAGGGGUAAGCGGAAUUCCGUGUGUAGCAGUGAAAUGCGUAGAUAUACGGAGGAACACCUGAGGCGAAGGCGGCUUACUGGACCAAUACUGACACUGAGACUCGAAAGCGUGGGUAGCAAACAGGAUUAGAUACCCUUGUAGUCC